GAUGAACGCUGGCGGCGUGCCUAAUACAUGCAAGUCGAGCGAACGGACGAGAAGCUUGCUUCUCUGAUGUUAGCGGCGGACGGGUGAGUAACACGUGGAUAACCUACCUAUAAGACUGGGAUAACUUCGGGAAACCGGAGCUCAUACCGGAUAAUAUUUUGAACCGCAUGGUUCAAAAGUGAAAGACGGUCUUGCUGUCACUUAUAGAUGGAUCCGCGCUGCAUUAGCUAGUUGGUAAGGUAACGGCUUACCAAGGCAACGAUGCAUAGCCGACCUGAGAGGGUGAUCGGCCACACUGGAACUGAGACACGGUCCAGACUCCUACGGGAGGCAGCAGUAGGGAAUCUUCCGCAAUGGGCGAAAGCCUGACGGAGCAACGCCGCGUGAGUGAUGAAGGUCUUCGGAUCGUAAAACUCUGUUAUCAGGGAAGAACAUAUGUGUAAGUAACUGUGCACAUCUUGACGGUACCUAAUCAGAAAGCCACGGCUAACUACGUG
rnacentral:rRNA from 1 species